rnacentral:lncRNA from 1 species
AUAAAACUGCAGCCCCAGCAAACACCUGGAUUGCUACCUUUUGAUACCUUGAGCAGAAUACCCAGUUAGCCAUGCUGGAAAUCAUGACCCAUAUAAACUGUGAAAUAAUAAAUGGUUACUAUUUAGAGUGCCCAAAUUUGUGGUAAUUUGUUAUGAAGCAAAGAAAAAAAUACAAUGAGGAUUUUGUAACAGAGUUUUAACAGAACUGUUCAUAUUCAUAUUAUGAUAUAAAGAUUCCUUUCUCAUAAAAACACCAGGAUCUCCAUAAUUAUAUAUAACAAUAUAAUAUGUAUACAACAAUAUGUAUGGAGUUGUGACAUGAGAUUUAUGAAAAAUAUACACUACAUAAAAACAAGACUUCAUUAAAACAAUUAUCAUGUUUUCAGGCAAUUGUCAUAUAUUACCCAUAUAUGGAUUAGAAAAUUUAAGGAUGGGAAAUCUAGACUUUAAAGAUUCGUAUUCAGAUUUCAGUCAUCCAUUUAUAAGGUUAAUGUCUAUAGACGAAGGAAAUAAAUGGGAGCUCCUCAAUCCUCUGAUAUUCGGAGACAGUGUUCGGUACACAUAAAGCUCCAUAUGCCUAACCCUCAAUCUAAGACUUCUGUUUUCUCCAUCCAGUUAAGAUAAAUUUAUUUUUAUAAUGAUCUAAAAUACAUACCUAAAACUUUGUAUACAAGAAGAUUGGCUAUUUUUAAAAAAUUGAACAGUCCAAGGUAUGAUAUUAGACCCAGUAGAAUUAUUCUUUUGCCAAAGUUAAGUCUAUGACAUGUUAAAAUACUAAGUUUAAUCAGUACAAUCAAGCAAUGUGUAUUAGGAUGGGAAAAUGUCUCUCAUUUUUUAACUGAUAUUAUUUAAAAUAUAUAUAAAUUGUGCAUUUUGUCUUACAAUAAAUAUUUCCUUAUAACCGUAUGUUGAAUUUAUUAUGAAAAAUGAAAUAUUUCAAAAAAAGAAUGCAGUUUUUCAUAUUCUGAAUCCUAUGUAGUUGCCAUAAAUCUAUAACAAUGGGUAAAUAUUAGAUACUGAAUUGUAUUGGUUGAAUACAUCAAUUUAAACAUAAAGCGAAGAAUAUAGGGGAAAAAGCAAAGCAUAAAGAUUAUUGGGCAACUUACUCUCCAGGCUUGCCCUUCCCUAACACCUUUGUGAAAGCUCUGGCCACUUCCUUGUUGCGAAGGCUGUAGAUGAGGGGAUUCAGCAUGGGUGUAAGAAUGGUGUAGAAAGCUGAUACCAUCUUGUCCUGGGUCGGGGAACGAUCUGAAGUGGGUCGCAUGUAUAUGAACAUGGCUGCUCCAUAGUACAUUCCCACCACCAUGAGGUGGGAGGAACAGGUAGUGAAAGCUUUGCGGCGACCAUCUCCAGUUCCCAUGCGAAUGACAGCACGAAUAACAUGAACAUAAGAAGCAAUGAUGACUGCUACAGGGAAGAGAAGCAUAAUAACACAGCAGAUAAAUAUCAUCCUUUGAAACAGUAAUGUGUUAGUGCAUGAGAGAGUGAGCAGGGCAGGGACAUCACAGAAAAAAUGAGGAAUUUCCCGGGCACCACAAUAUGAGAAGGAUAAUACAACUGCCACUUCAAUUAUACCAUCAAGGGAGCCAAGAAUCCAGGAAGAGGCUGCCAUGAGACCACAGAUUUUCUGGCUCAUGAGAACUGAGUAUCGCAAUGGGUAGCAGAUGGCAACAUAACGGUCAUAGGCCAUUGCAGCCAACAGGAAACAUUCAGCUCCAAGCAGGGACACAGAGAAAAACAUCUGGGUUCCACAACUGGCCAGAGAGAUGUACUUCUUGCCAGACAAGUAGCUGAAAGCCAUCUUGGGUACAGUGGUGCAGAUGAGCAUGAGGUCCAUGAGGGACAGUUGGCUGAGGAGGAAGUACAUGGGAGUGUGGAGCUGAGUGUCCAGGUAGAUGAGGAGAACCAUGGCAGUGUUUCCCAUGAAGGCCACUGUGAAGAUGACCAAGACCAGAGAGAAGAGAAAGGUGCAGCUGGGUCUGUGACUGAAAAUUCCCAGCAGAAUGAACUCAGAGUUGAAAGUCUGAUUCCCCCAUGCCACGAUAAAUAUAUUCACUGUGGAAAAUACAACAUGUGAGAAAUGGCUGGGAUUGUGUUAUGGAAAUAUCAGGGACUUCCAGCCUAGAUCACCACUCUUUAUGAUAUUGUCUACACAUAAAAAGUUAUUUCUCUUGGGGCUGGUCUCAUGAUGCAGCAGUUAAUUUCGCACGUCCUGCUUUGGCGGCCCAGGGUUCGCUGGUUCAGAUCCCGGGUCUGGACGUGGUACCACUUGGCAAGCCUUGCUGCGGUAGGUGUCCCACAUGUAAAGUAGAGGAAGAUGGACAUGGAUGUUAGCUCAGGGCCAGCCUUCUUCAGCAAAAAGAGGAGGACUGGCAGCAGAUGUUAACUCAGGGUUAAACUUCCUCAAAAAAAAAAAGUUCUUUCUCUGAAUGUCAUUUUUUUUAAAUUGUAGACUAAGAAUAUUAAACCUUAUUUUUAGCUUGAUGUGACUUUAAAUCUAAAACAUGAACCUAACAGUCAUAAGAAAGUUCCAAAAAUGCAUAUAGUCUAAUUUUAGCAACCAGUCAGCUCAAAUAUGUACCAUGGAUAAUCCCUUCAGAAAUACGCUGAGUCAUCAGAAGACUCAUGAAUUCCUUGGAAAUCAAUGGCAUUUUCCACGGAACUUAGCAUAUCACACUAUGAUUCUAAUAAAAAUUCUGUCUACCAAGGUGCAGAGGGAAGCAUGUUUUAGUGAAAGUGGGAUAAGAUUAGUCAAAUGCCAGAUAAACAAAAGACAUUGAGAACUCAUCAAUCAGAAGUUCAUUAAAUACUACAUAUUGCUAAUAAUGGUGAGGUGUGGUGGAAGUAGUUCCUCACCAAUACGUCCAUCCUUUAUUCUUUCUCUUAAGACGAGGUGAAUCCAUGAGACAUUCUUGAAUUGGCCGUUUUACUGGAGAAGCAAACUAGAAGAGAGUGCAAGAACAUAGCUCAAACAUCUGGAAUAGGGCAUUUUGGCUGUGUAACUUUAGACAAUUAAUUUCUCCAAGCCUUAUUUUUAUAGUGUGUAAUUUUUGGUAUUUAUUAAUGUUUAUAUUGCAGCAUGUUAAGACUAAAUGAGAUCACACUUAUAAUAUGUGAACAUUACCUGAAAUACACUGUGUACCAUAGAAAUAUUUUUAAAUAAAUACUAUUGGAGGGAUUUAUUUUAUAUUAUUCUAAUUUAUAUAAAAUUAAUCUCUUCCACUCCCUUAGCAAGACUCUUCUACACAGUAGCAUAUUUUUAAUUUUCUAUUUUUUCACCUAUUUCUCUUUUUUUCUCUUGUCACUCUCUUCAUUGAUCAAGGCAUUGGCUUCCUUUGUAUCCCUUUGCAUGAGCUUUUCCUCUUCUGGGAGCAAUUCAGAGAAGUGUGCCUGAUAUUUUGGUUUUAACUUUUGGGAAAUAAAAAUUUCCUUGUGGUUCUGCCAAAUGGAUGAAAAUUGUGCAUUUUAGUUUACGAAAACUCUGAUUUAAAGCAUGACGUUAUAAUGCAAUUUCUUACCUGUUUUUUACCACUAUCUAGCAAGAGCAAGCAUAUUAGCCUAAUACCAUUUAAAAUGCCCCAUUAUAAUAGAUUUAAAGCCAAUGAAAGUGUAAUGAACAUGUUAUCAUGCAACCAAGUUAUAUCAAUAAUCAAGUAAUUAUCAAGUAUAAUUUGGCAAUAUUAUACUGUUGUCUCCUGACAUUUGUAUAUAGUUCUUAUGGUAGUGAAACAUAUAUAUUGAAAAGAGUGUUGAGUGAAUUCAUCUUCAACGUACCAUGGAUAAAAUUUUAUAAAUGGCUAAACCUAUGCAACUAUCACACAGAUAAAUACAUGGACCAUUUCCAAAGGAUUUCGUCAUAUCCUUUCACAGUCCAUCCUGCCCUAGACAUAACCUAUAUUUUAAUAUCUAUCUCAAAGGCUUAUGUUUUGCCUGUUCUUGAUUUCAUGUACAUCCUGGAGUUCGUUCUAUUUUAUGUGCACAGAAAUGGAACCCAUUAUACUCCUGACCUCUGCACCUACCAACUCAUUGGCUCAGCUCCCCUCCAGCCAUACUAGCCUCUUCAUCUCUGGAACACAUUUGAAUGCUCUAAUCCAGGGUGUUUGCACUGGCUGUUCCCUCUGACCACCCUCUGUGCCUUAGACCAAGUCCCUCACUGCUUUCAGGCUCUUAUUCAAAUGCUUUCCACUUCAUAGAGCUUCAUGGCCUCUCUCUACAUAAGCUACCUACCUUACCUUUUUUUCUACUUGGUAUUUCUCUCAUCUAAGACUAUACUAGUUUUUCUGCUUUUUGUCCGACUCUCCUCAUUAGGAUGUAAAUUCCAUCAAGACAGAGAUUUAGUGAGUCACAUUCAUUAGAUACUUGGUGAAUCAAGACAUUUGUUAAAGGAAAUGCUGGUGUUUUUUCUUUUGUGGUUCAGAUAUUGUCCUUUCUUCUCUAACCCUCUCCUGAAAAGAGGGUGGUUGCUUUAGGACUUCACACAACUCAGUGUG